rnacentral:rRNA from 1 species
AUUGAACGCUGGCGGCAGGCCUAACACAUGCAAGUCGAGCGGAUGAAGGGAGCUUGCUCCUGGAUUCAGCGGCGGACGGGUGAGUAAUGCCUAGGAAUCUGCCUGGUAGUGGGGGAUAACGUCCGGAAACGGGCGCUAAUACCGCAUACGUCCUGAGGGAGAAAGUGGGGGAUCUUCGGACCUCACGCUAUCAGAUGAGCCUAGGUCGGAUUAGCUAGUUGGUGGGGUAAAGGCCUACCAAGGCGACGAUCCGUAACUGGUCUGAGAGGAUGAUCAGUCACACUGGAACUGAGACACGGUCCAGACUCCUAAGGGAGGCAGCAGUGGGGAAUAUUCGACAAUGGGCGAAAGCCUGAUCCAGCCAUGCCGCGUGUGUGAAGAAGGUCUUCGGAUUGUAAAGCACUUUAAGUUGGGAGGAAGGGCAGUAAGUUAAUACCUUGCUGUUUUGACGUUACCAACAGAAUAAGCACCGGCUAACUUCGUG